rnacentral:misc_RNA from 1 species
GCAAACUUGGUCAUUUAGAGGAAGUAAAAGUCGUAACAAGGUCUCCGUUGGUGAACCAGCGGAGGGAUCAUUACAGAGUUGCAAAACUCCUCAAACCCAGUGUUUAAUAUACCUGAUCGUUGCUUCGGCAGGCGGCCCCAGGGCGGGGUCGUAGCCUCUCAGGCGCCUGCCGGAAGUUCUUGAAAAUUCUGUUAUUUUUUAGUUAUCUGAGUUCUGAAGAAAAAUAAAUUAAAACUUUCAACAACGGAUCUCUUGGUUCUGGCAUCGAUGAAGAACGCAGC